GACGAACGCUGGCGGCGUGCUUAACACAUGCAAGUCGAACGGAAAGGCCCCCACUUUUUUGGUGGGGGUGCUCGAGUGGCGAACGGGUGAGUAACACGUGGGUGAUCUGCCCUGUACUUCGGGAUAAGCUUGGGAAACUGGUUCUAAUACCGGAUAGGACCAUGGUUUAGUGUCUCAUGGUGGAAAAAUUAUUGUUUUGGUGCAGGAUGAGCUCGCGGCCUAUCAGCUUGUUGGUGGGGUAAUGGCCUACCAAGGCGUCGACGGGUAGCCGGCCUGAGAGGGUGGACGGCCACAUUGGGACUGAGAUACGGCCCAGACUCCUACGGGAGGCAGCAGUGGGGAAUAUUGCACAAUGGGCGCAAGCCUGAUGCAGCGACGCCGCGUGGGGGAUGACGGCCUUCGGGUUGUAAACUCCUUUCGUUAGGGACGAAGCCGCACCUUUUUUGGGUGUGGUGACGGUACCUUUGUUAAGAAGCACCGGCUAACUACGUG
rnacentral:rRNA from 1 species